GAUGAACGCUGGCGGCGUGCUUAACACAUGCAAGUCGAGCGAGAAGUUUUGAAAAGAUUCUUCGGAUGAAAUUUAAAAUGGAAAGCGGCGGACGGGUGAGUAACGCGUAGGCAACCUGCCCCAUACAAAGGGAUAGCAUUUGGAAACGAAUAUUAAUACCUUAUGAAACUUAACUAGUGCAUGCUAGGUAGGUCAAAGAUUUAUCGGUAUGGGAUGGGCCUGCGUCUGAUUAGCUAGUUGGUGAGGUAACGGCUCACCAAGGCGACGAUCAGUAGCCGACCUGAGAGGGUGAACGGCCACAUUGGAACUGAGACACGGUCCAAACUCCUACGGGAGGCAGCAGUGGGGAAUAUUGCACAAUGGGGGAAACCCUGAUGCAGCAACGCCGCGUGAACGAUGAAGGCCUUUGGGUCGUAAAGUUCUGUUCUAGGUGAUGAAAACUGACAGUAACCUAGGAGAAAGCCCCGGCUAACUCCGUGCCAGCAGCCGCGGUAAUACGGAGGGGGCAAGCGUUAUCCGGAAUUAUUGGGCGUAAAGGGUACGUAGGUGGCCUUUUAAGCGUAGGGUAUAAGGCAAUGGCUCAACCAUUGUUCGCCCUAUGAACUGGAAGGCUUGAGUGCAGGAGAGGAAAGCGGAAUUCCUAGUGUAGCGGUGGAAUGCAUAGAUAUUAGGAGGAACAUCAGCGGCGAAGGCGGCUUUCUGGACUGCAACUGACACUGAGGUACGAAAGCGUGGGGAGCAAACAGG
rnacentral:rRNA from 1 species